rnacentral:lncRNA from 1 species
UUUGGGCCCAAUUUGGAAAAUUGGGCCAUAGAUGGGCCAUAGUUUGGGCCUUAAUGAUUAUAUGAUGUUGGGCCUUAGAAUAAGACCAUGUAUAGGCCUGGGCCCAAUUUGGAAAAUUGGGCCAUGUGUUGGGCUUGAUUCCUAAUUUAAUUUGGGCCUAUAGAUUGGGCCUUGGGAUUGAAUGAGCCAAGCUUGGGGGUAAUGUAGUAAUUAUCCAAAUAAUGUACUAUUGGUUAUGUGUUGGGGACCCAAUUAUUAAUUGGGUAAUGUUUUGAUAUUGACAGAUCGGGAAUCUGUCAUCCAGCAGCUGGGGUCGAGUCUGCGGGACUUCAGCAAUGAGGGGUUGAGUCUACGGGACUUCAGCAGUGCGAGGUGAGUUACCUUCCAGUAGGAGAGGGUCUNCCACUAGUAGGAGUUAUUUGUUAGAUGAUUGUCUUUGUGAUAAUUAAUUGGUGUGUUGUUAUCUGAUAUGCUUUAUGUGCUAGGAUGCUAUGACAUAUGUGUUAGUAGUGGUAGGGGUGAUAUAGCCCAUAGUUACCGGUUGAAAGAUACUGAAGGGGUAGAUAGUACCCAUGCAUGCCUAGCAGUAUGAUCAUGAUAUGUUAUUAUGUGAUAGUGGUAGGGGUGAAAUAGUCCCCAGUUACCAGUUGAAAGAUACCGAAGGCAGUUACCGGUUGAAAUAUACCGAAGGGGUAGACAGAACCCAUGUAUGAUAUGUUAUUAAGUGACCAGUAUGGUUAUGAUAUGCCAUUAUGUGAUUCAGUAUGUUUAUGUUAUGUAUCAUGGAACCAAUAUGUUUAUGACAUGUUAUUAUAUGAUAGUGGUGGGGGUGAUAUAUUCCCCGGAUACCGGUUGAAAGAUAUCGAUGGCAGUUACCGGUUGAAAGAUACCGAAGGGGUAUACAUAACCCACGCAAUGCUUAUCUGUUUGUUUUUUAUAUGUUGGUAUGUGAUCAUUAUGUUAUGAUGUUAGUUUGUGAUCAUUAUGUUAUGAUGUUAGUUUGUGAUCGAUAUGUUAUGAUGUUAGUAUGUGAUCAGUAUGUUAUGAUGUGUAUGUUUAUGAUAUAUUAUUAUGUGAUGGUGGUAGGGGUGAAAUAGUCCCCGGUUACCGGUUGAAAGAUUCCGAUGGUAGAUACCAGUUGAAAGAUACCAAUGGUAUUAUGUGGUAUGUGGUAUGAUGGGGGAACUCACUAAGCUUCGUGCUUACGGUUUACAGUUUUGGUUUCAGGUGCUUUGUUUGCAAAGGAAAGGAGCCGGCUUGAUCGCAGCGCAUCACGCUAUGUUUUCUGCAAACGAGAUCCUUGGGAUUUUACUUUGAUAUGGUUUCAUAAUAUUAUAUUUUGAUUAUUCAUACUUUGGUUUUAUGUAAUAACCUAAUUAAAAAUGAAAUUUUU